UACGAAUGGGGCGAGCGUUGUUCGGAAUCACUGGGCGUAAAGCGUACGUAGGCGGACUGGAAAGUCAGAAGUGAAAUCCCGGGGCUUAACCCCGGAAUUGCUUUUGAAACUUCCAGUCUAGAGGCCCGGAGAGGUCAGCGGAAUUCCGAGUGUAGAGGUGAAAUUCGCAGAUAUUCGGAGGAACACCAGUUGCGUAGGCGGCUGGCUGGACGGGCACUGACGCUGAGGUACGAAAGCGUGGGGAUCAAAC
rnacentral:rRNA from 1 species